GACGAACCGUGCGAACGUUAUUCGGAAUCACUGGGCUUAAAGCGCGUGUAGGCGGAUGGGAACGUCGGUAGUUGAAAGCCCCCGGCUCAACCGGGGAAGUGGUGCCGAAACGACCCGUCUGGAGGGACGUAGGGGGACCUGGAACUUCCGGUGGAGCGGUGAAAUGCGUUGAGAUCGGAAGGAACGCCCGUGGCGAAAGCGGCCUUCUGGACAGUGACUGACGCUGAGACACGAAAGCGUGGGGAGCAAACAGG
rnacentral:rRNA from 1 species